rnacentral:misc_RNA from 1 species
UUGAGUCAAAAUUUCGUUUUUGUUGAUCUAAUAAUAUACAAUAACAAUAUUAAAUAGUGUUAUGAAGUGUAUGAGUAAUAGUGUAGUGUGUUAAAUAGUGUUUAAGUGGAAAACCUAGCCUGGAAUUAACAAAUGUUUGUAUUUCAAUGGAUUCUCUGUCGUUGGCGGCAGCGCAAGAGGCGGCGGGCGCGCAGGCCCGCGCGGCGUCAGCUGAUACCAUGGGCGGCGCGCACCAACCCGCUACUCCAGGGCCGAGCUCGCUCUUCAUAUUAUCCGACGAAAAUCCUAUUCGGAAGUAUACAAAAUUCAUCAUCGAGUGGCCGCCCUUCGAGUACGCGGUGCUACUUACCAUCAUCGCCAACUGUGUGGUGCUGGCGCUGGAGGAGCAUCUGCCCAACGGCGAUAAGACCAUCUUAGCACAGAAUCUGGAAGCGACCGAGGCAUACUUUUUAGGAAUAUUUUGUGUAGAAGCCUCGUUGAAAAUAUUAGCCCUAGGUUUUGUUUUACACAGGGGAUCGUAUCUUAGGAACAUUUGGAACAUAAUGGAUUUUUUCGUAGUAGUAACCGGUAUCAUCACGCAGCUGCCAGUGGCGCCAGCCGACGUCGAUUUCAGGACCUUGCGCGCCAUUAGGGUGUUGAGGCCCCUUAAAUUAGUAUCGGGCGUUCCUAGUCUGCAAGUUGUCUUGAAGUCCAUCAUCAAGGCAAUGGCGCCCUUGCUGCAGAUUGGCUUGUUGGUGCUCUUUGCGAUCGUCAUCUUCGCCAUCAUCGGCCUGGAGUUCUAUUCCGGGGCGCUGCAUAAGACUUGUUAUAGUUUAGAAGAUAUUAAUGAAAUAAUGACUGAUGGCGAGUCACCCACCCCGUGCAACGCCGACAACGAGACGCUAGCCCCGUACGGCGCGAACGUUUGCAUGUACGACAAGAGCACGUGUCUAGAAAAAUGGGAAGGGCCGAACCGUGGCAUCACCUCUUUUGAUAACAUCGGCUUCGCUAUGCUUACCGUCUUCCAGUGCAUCACGAUGGAGGGCUGGACUGCCAUCCUCUAUUGGACGAAUGACGCGUUAGGUAGUGCGUUCAACUGGGUUUACUUUGUGCCUCUCAUAGUAUUGGGUUCAUUCUUUAUGCUCAAUUUAGUUCUCGGUGUCCUUAGCGGUGAAUUCGCUAAAGAAAGAGAGAAAGUAGAAAAUAGACAAGAAUUUCUUAAGUUAAGAAGACAACAGCAGCUAGAAAGAGAACUCAACGGUUAUGUUGAGUGGAUAUGUAAAGCAGAGGAAGUUAUAUUAGCAGAAGAAAGAACAACAGAAGAAGAAAAGAUGCACAUAAUGGAAGCUCGGAGAAGAGCAGCAGCCAAGAAGAAAUUAAAAAACCUUGGCAAGAGUAAAAGCACUGAUACCGAGGAAGAAGAGCAGGAUGAAGACUGUGGAGACGACGUUCCAAAGAAAAAGCAAGGUUUUUUGAAGAGUAAAACACGGUCGGCCGGCAAAUGCGCGGAUUUCUGGCGUGCCGAGAAGAGGUUUCGCUUCUGGAUCCGACAUACAGUGAAGACUCAAUGGUUCUAUUGGUUCGUCAUAGUCUUGGUGCUCUUCAAUACAAUAUGCGUCGCUGUCGAGCACUAUAGACAACCUAAGUGGUUAACUUCAUUUUUAUACUAUGCCGAAUUUGUGUUCCUGGGGUUGUUCAUGAUGGAGAUGUGGGUAAAGAUGUACGCGUUGGGACCUCGCAUCUACUUCGAGUCCUCGUUCAACCGGUUCGACUGUGUGGUUAUCUCCGGUUCAAUUUUCGAGGUCGUCUGGUCUGAGGUCAAGGGGGGCUCUUUCGGUCUUUCUGUGCUUAGAGCUUUAAGACUGCUAAGGAUAUUCAAGGUUACAAAAUACUGGUCAUCACUCCGCAACCUGGUGAUAUCCCUCCUCAACUCAAUGAGAUCCAUCAUCUCGCUGCUGUUCCUUCUGUUCUUGUUCAUUCUUAUCUUCGCUCUACUGGGGAUGCAGCUCUUCGGAGGCCAGUUCAACUUUGAGGAAGGCACUCCGCCAACCAACUUCAACACCUUUCCUAUUGCGCUGCUUACUGUCUUCCAGAUUCUAACAGGUGAAGAUUGGAACGAAGUGAUGUACGACGGUAUCCAGUCUCAGGGUGGCAUCCAGCGAGGCAUGAUCUACUCAUUGUACUUCGUGAUCCUCGUUCUGUUCGGGAACUACACCCUGCUAAACGUGUUCCUUGCUAUCGCUGUCGACAAUUUGGCAAAUGCUCAAGAAUUGACAGCGGCUGAAGAGGAACAGGUUGAGGAAGACAAGGAGAAGCAGCUCCAAGAAUUGGAGAAAGAGAUGGGUGCAUUACACGCGGUGGAUGGGACGCCACCUAUAAGUCCUUCAUCACCAACGAGUAGGAAGAACAAGAAGAAAGAAGAGGCCAAAAAAGAUGAUGAGGAGAUACCAGAUGGACCAAAACCAAUGCUGCCAUAUUCGUCCAUGUUUAUUUUGUCACCUACUAAUCCAAUUAGGCGAGGCGCACACUGGGUUGUAAAUUUAAGAUAUUUUGAUUUUUUUAUCAUGAUAGUUAUAUGUAUGAGUUCUGCAGCUUUAGCAGCUGAAGACCCCGUAGUCGAAGAGAGUGAUAGGAACAAGAUCCUAAACUGCUUCGACUACGCAUUCACCGGUGUGUUCACCGUGGAGAUGUUGCUGAAGAUCGUCGAUCUGGGCAUCCUGUUCCACCCCGGCGCGUACCUGCGUGACUUGUGGAACAUCAUGGAUGCCGCGGUCGUCAUCUGUGCCCUAGUUAGCUUCAGUUUUGAAAUCGGAGGCGUAAAAAAGGGGGCGGGACAAAAUUUGUCCACAAUAAAGUCGUUACGAGUGUUAAGAGUGCUCAGACCAUUGAAAACUAUAAAACGUGUUCCAAAGUUAAAAGCAGUGUUUGACUGUGUUGUGAACUCUUUGAAAAAUGUCAUUAACAUUCUCAUUGUGUACAUAUUGUUUCAAUUCAUAUUCGCUGUAAUCGCGGUUCAACUUUUUAAUGGUAAAUUUUUUCACUGCAACGAUAUCAGUAAGAAUACCUUUGAAGACUGCCAAGGGUCGUACUUCGUCUACGAGUCAAACAGUCUGCUGCCGAAGGUGGCGAAACGUCAGUGGACGACGCAGUCCUUCCAUUACGAUAACGUCGCCACUGCCAUGCUAACGCUAUUUGCGGUGCAGACGGGGGAAGGGUGGCCACAAGUAUUACAAAAUUCAAUGGCUGCCACUUACGAAGAUAGGGGACCCAUACAAAAUUUUCGAAUAGAAAUGUCCAUAUUUUAUAUAGUUUACUUUGUAGUGUUUCCGUUCUUCUUUGUUAACAUAUUCGUAGCUCUGAUAAUUAUCACAUUUCAAGAGCAGGGUGAAGCAGAGUUGCAAGACGGUGAAAUUGAUAAAAAUCAGAAAUCAUGUAUAGACUUUACGAUAGAAGCGCGACCUCUCGAGAGGUAUAUGCCAAGCAAAAGGGCGAGUUUUAAGUACAAAGUGUGGAGAAUAGUCGUCUCUACGCCCUUCGAGUACUUCAUCAUGACUCUCAUUGUUCUCAACACACUGCUGCUCAUGAUGAAGUACUAUAAUCAAAAUGACCUCUACGCGGAUGUCCUCAAGUAUUCGAAUAUGGGGUUUACUGGAAUGUUUUCCGUGGAAACGGUGUUGAAAAUCAUCGCUUAUGGUGUCAAAUUUCACGAGGCUCCACCACUACUCAUGGACAUGCUAACAUUCAUGAACCUCGUCUUUACGUUCUUCUUCCUUCUCGAGACCGUUUUGAAGCUGAUUGCCUUCGGAUGUACGAAUUUUUUCAAAGAUCCGUGGAAUACAUUUGAUUUCAUAACGGUCAUUGGAAGUAUUAUUGAUGCCCUCAUUAUGGAGUUUGGCGAGAACACGUUUAAUGUCGGUUUCCUACGCCUGUUCAGAGCCGCGCGACUGAUCAAGCUGCUCAGGCAGGGUUAUACUAUUCGGAUACUACUCUGGACAUUCGUACAGAGUUUCAAAGCCUUACCCUAUGUGUGCCUUCUCAUCGCGAUGCUUUUCUUCAUCUACGCCAUCAUCGGGAUGCAGGUGUUUGGCAAUAUAGAAUUAUCAGCAGACAAUGAUAUAAACAGACACAACAAUUUUCGAAGCUUCAUUCAAGGACUUAUGCUGCUAUUCAGAUGCGCAACGGGCGAGUCGUGGCCGAACAUCAUGCUGGCGUGUCUCAAGCCUGCCAAGUGCGAUAAGGCGGCUGGAAAGUCCUCCAACGAGGUUUGCGGCAGCACCCUUGCCUACGCCUACUUCGUGUCCUUCAUUUUCUUCUGCUCCUUUCUUAUGUUGAAUCUGUUCGUUGCCGUCAUCAUGGACAACUUCGACUACUUAACGAGGGACUCGUCCAUCCUCGGCGCUCAUCAUCUUGAUGAAUUUGUUAGAAUAUGGGCCGAAUACGACCCGAACGCCACGGGGAAGAUCCACUAUACAGAAAUGUACGAUAUGUUGAAGAAUAUGGAUCCUCCACUGGGGUUUGGCAACAAAUGUCCAAACAGACUAGCAUAUAAGAAACUAAUUAGAAUGAAUAUGCCGCUAGACGACGAAGGAAAAGUUAAUUUUACGACAACACUAUUUGCCUUAAUUCGGGAAAACCUCAACAUCAAGAUGAGAUCAGCCGAAGAAAUGGACCAAGCAGACGAGGAGCUAAGAGAAACGAUAACUCACAUAUGGCCGCUUCAAGCAAAGAAGAUGUUAGACUUGUUGGUGCCUCGAAACGACGUACUUAAUGCAGGGAAACUGACGGUGGGGAAGAUCUACGCGGGCCUGCUCAUCUUGGAGAGUUGGAGAUCGACUAGGUUUGGCCAGACUGAACCACAGGGCGUUCCGAAGGCGUCCUUCUUUAACUGCCUGCUGGACGUGGCGGCGGGGAUGAACACGGGCUCGCGGGCGGGCUCGCUCAGUCAUGAGCCGCCGGAGCCGCACCCGGAGCAUCCUCAUGUCGACGACCACACCCUAGCCAACCUCGCCCGGCGAAGCACAAGAAAAUCACUCAAGAACAACAAAAAGGUGUUGGAGUUACAAGAUGUGGGAUCGCAUCACGCCUCUAUGGAGUCGCUAGACGAGGCGAGGCUGCAGGCGCCGCAUGUGUACCAAAACGGUCACCAUGGCAGGUCAUCUAGCUUAAGAAGCAUCGAAGAAGAGAUUGAUCUCAAAGUUGUCAUAGUGGAAACUGACGAACGCCGAGCCCGAGGAGACGAGGCCACUACGGAGGCUACCACCACGACAUCGGCUUCUCAGAUACCGUCAGCAACGUCGUCGAGAUAGUCAAGCACGAACACCAAAGACACGGGCGAACGCACAGGGCGCCCCACCACUAUCACCCACAUGGGAAGGAGUGGAGGGCGCCGCACCCCACGACCAGCCUGAGCCAGCCCUCGAGGUCGCCCAGCCCGCCACACCACACCUACG